rnacentral:lncRNA from 1 species
AAAUCAUAGAGACAGAACGCAGGUUGGUGGUUUCAAGGGACUGUAGGAGAGAAUGAGAAGAAGCUGCUUAGUGGGUAAGGGGUUUUAUUUUGGAAUGAUGGAAAUGUUUUCAAACUAGAGGAGCUGGUUGCACAACACUGUGAAUUCUCCUGGGUCGGGGAGCCUAUCUGAAUUUCCACCUCAAUCAAGAGUGACCUCCUGUAAGGAAUACAGGCUCACUCUGAAGAGUCAUGGAUCUCCAGCCUCAAAAAUGACAACUACAGUCCUGAUUGACCGUUGAUUCUCAAAGACGAGAUGUUAAGAUUAAAUAUUUUGGAGCAUGUCAGAGGAAAUC